rnacentral:misc_RNA from 1 species
GCUACUACCGAUUGAAUGGUUUAGCGAGAUGCUCGGAUCGGGCCCAGCUCGUGAGAAAGCAUGUGCCGGGACUGAGAAGAAGUUCAAGCUUGAUCAUUUAGAGGAAGUAAAAGUCGUAACAAGGUUUUCGUAGGUGAACCUGCAGAAGGAUCAAGAUCGUUAGAGCGUCGUGUAUGGCAAGCGUGUAGAUCUCGGUGUUCGCCGUUUCAUUUAUACACAUAUUCUCUACUUCUUUUAUUCCUCUCUUUUUUCUCUCCCUCUCUUUCCUCUCUUUUUU